AGCUUUGCGCAGUGGCAGUAUCAUAGCCAAUGAGGUUUAUCCGAGGCGCGAUUAUUGCUAAUUGAAAACUUAUUAAGACAUGAUUUCUGUCUGAUCCAAAAUUACCAUCCAAAAUAUUUAUCAAUUAAAAGACAAGCUACUAUUUU